AGUCCAGCAGGUACCCCAAACCAUCCCCGAUAGGAAAUAUAGGGGAGAUAGAGGGGGAAAACGCACUCCAGCAGCACCCCUACCGCUCCCCCGAAACAUAGGUGCCCCCAACCCAGACCCUCCCAUUCCCCUACGUAUCGGGGCAGUGGAGGCACCCCCGAUCCGCCGAGGAGAGCAACGGCUCGGUCGGGGAAGAUUCCUCCCGCCACCAAGCUCCCGAUCAGAAAUUAUUGCCCAAUUGCUGCACAGUUAUUUGAUGAAGGUUGAUUUGAUGGCGGAUCCAUGUAGUGUUGAUUUGAGCUCAAGUUCAAAGAAAGGAAAAGAGUUCAGUGUGCAUACCUUUGACGAAAUAGCUCAGCGUUCUUGUUCUUGCUGAGCUACGACUGAAGCCAUCGCAUAGAGAUCCUCGUCAUCGGACGACGACGAUUCCUCCAUGCACAUUCGCACGGCCAAGCUACGGCGACGACUCAUUUCGUUGUUGGAAAGUAUACUGGGAGAUUGAGAGAAUUAUGAGAGCAGAGGAAGAUUCAACAAUGUGUGAGAGGUGUGAGGGUUGAAUCUGUAUAUAUAUACCUGAAAAACUAGCCGUUGGAAAUAAUAUCGGUUGGAAAACUAGCCGUUGAAAAUAAUACCGUUGGAAA